rnacentral:rRNA from 1 species
UACGUAGGCAGCAAGCGUUGUUCGGAGUUACUGGGCGUAAAGGGUGUGUAGGCGGUUCUUUAAGUUUGGUGUGAAAUCUCCCGGCUCAACCGGGAGGGUGCGCCGAAUACUGAGGGACUAGAGUGCGGGAGAGGAAAGUGGAAUUCCUGGUGGUAGCGGUGAAAUGCGUAGAUAUCAGGAGGAACACCGGUGGUGUAGACGGCUUCUGGACCGUAACUGACGCUGAGACACGAAAGCGUGGGUAGCAAACAGG